AUUGAACGCUGGCGGCAGGCCUAACACAUGCAAGUCGCACGAGUGGCGUACGGGUGAGUAAUGUCUGGGAAACUGCCUGAUGGAGGGGGAUCACUACUGGAAACGGUAGCUAAUACCGCCUACCAUCGGAUGUGCCCAGGUGGGAUUAGCUAGUCGGUGGGGUAACGGCUCACCUCGGCGACGAUCCCUAGCUGGUCUGAGAGGAGGCCCAGCCACACUGGAACUGAGACACGGUCCAGACUCCUACGGGAGGCAGCAGUGGGGAAUAUUGCACAAUGGGCGCAAGCCGGAUGCAGCCAUGCCGCGGGUAUGAAGAAGGACUUCGGGUUGUAAAGUACUUUCAGCGAGGAGGCGUUACUCGCAGAAGAAGCACCGGCUAACUCCGUGCCAGCAGCCGCGGUAAUUC
rnacentral:rRNA from 1 species